rnacentral:rRNA from 1 species
GACGAACGCUGGCGGCGUGCUUAACACAUGCAAGUCGAACGGAAAGGCCCUGCUUUUGUGGGGUGCUCGAGUGGCGAACGGGUGAGUAACACGUGAGUAACCUGCCCUUGACUUUGGGAUAACUUCAGGAAACUGGGGCUAUUACCGGAUAGGAGCUCCUGCUGCAUGGUGGGGGUUGGAAAGUUUCGGCGGUUGGGGAUGGACUCGCUGCGUAUCAGCUUGUUGGUGGGGUAGUGUCUUACCAAGGCUUUGACGGGUAGCCGGCCUGAGAGGGUGACAGGCUACAUUACGACUGAGAUAAGACCCAGACCACUACGGGAGGCAGCGGUGGAGAAGAUUGCACAAGGGGCGGAAGCCUGAUGUAGCAAAGCCACGUGGGGGGUGACGGCCUGCGGGUAGUGAAGCGCAGUCGCCUGAGACGAAGCGUGAGUGACAGUAAUGGGAAAAGAAGCACCGGCUAACUACGUG